AAGACCUUGCACUUUUGGAGCGGCCGAUGUCUGAUUAGCUAGUUGGUGGGGUAAUGGCCUACCAAAGCUUCGAUCAGUAGCUGGUCUGAGAGGACGGCCAGCCACACUGGGACUGAGACACGGCCCAGACUCCUACGGGAGGCAGCAGUGGGGAAUUUUGGACAAUGGGCGCAAGCCUGAUCCAGCCAUGCCGCGUGAGUGAAGAAGGCCUUCGGGUUGUAAAGCUCUUUCAGUCGGGAAGAAAAGGUUGCGACUAAUAAUCGCAAUCCAUGACGGUACCGAAAGAAGAAGCACCGGCUAACUACGUGCCAGCAGCCGCGGUAAUACGUAGGGUGCGAGCGUUAAUCGGAAUUACUGGGCGUAAAGGGUGCGCAGGCGGUUUUGUAAGUCAGAUGUGAAAUCCCCGGGCUUAACCUGGGAACU
rnacentral:rRNA from 1 species